AAAGUACUCCAUCCGUCCGGAAUUACUUGUCGCGGAAAUAGAUAAAAAUGGAUGUAUCUAUAACUGAAAUACGUCUAAAUACAUUUAUUCCUCCGACAAGUAUUUCCGGAUAGAGGGAGUACCUG
rfam:Triticum aestivum genome assembly, contig: Triticum_aestivum_CS42_TGACv1_scaffold_061830_1DL